rnacentral:rRNA from 1 species
UACGAAGGGUGCAAGCGUUGUUCGGAUUUACUGGGCGUAAAGGGCGCGUAGGCGGCAAUUCAAGUCAUCUGUGAAAUCUCCGGGCUUAACUCGGAACGGUCAGAUGAUACUGCUUUGCUAGAGUGCGGAAGGGGCAAUCGGAAUUCUUGGUGUAGCGGUGAAAUGCGUAGAUAUCAAGAGGAACACCUGAGGUGAAGACGGGUUGCUGGGCCGACACUGACGCUGACAGCGCGAAAGCCAGGGGAGCAAACGGG